rnacentral:rRNA from 1 species
AGUAAAAGUCGUAACAAGGUUUCCGUAGGUGAACCUGCGGAAGGAUCAUUACCGAGUGAGGGCCCUCUGGGUCCAACCUCCCACCCGUGUUUAUUUUACCUUGUUGCUUCGGCGGGCCCGCCUUUACUGGCCGCCGGGGGGCUCACGCCCCCGGGCCCGCGCCCGCCGAAGACACCCUCGAACUCUGUCUGAAGAUUGAAGUCUGAGUGAAAAUAUAAAUUAUUUAAAACUUUCAACAACGGAUCUCUUGGUUCCGGCAUCGAUGAAGAACGCAGCGAAAUGCGAUACGUAAUGUGAAUUGCAAAUUCAGUGAAUCAUCGAGUCUUUGAACGCACAUUGCGCCCCCUGGUAUUCCGGGGGGCAUGCCUGUCCGAGCGUCAUUGCUGCCCUCAAGCCCGGCUUGUGUGUUGGGCCCCGUCCUCCGAUUCCGGGGGACGGGCCCGAAAGGCGGCGGCGGCACCGCGUCCGGUCCUCGAGCGUAUGGGGCUUUGUCACCCGCUCUGUAGGCCCGGCCGGCGCUUGCCGAUCAACCCAAAUUUUUAUCCAGGUUGACCUCGGAUCAGGUAGGGAUACCCGCUGAACUUAAGCAUAUCAAUAAGCGGAGGA